rnacentral:rRNA from 1 species
CGCCAGACUCCUACGGGAGGCAGCAGUGGGGAAUAUUGCACAAUGGGGGAAACCCUGAUGCAGCGACGCCGCGUGAGUGAAGAAGUAUUUCGGUAUGUAAAGCUCUCUCAGCAGGGAAGAAAAUGACGGUACCUGAUUAAGAAGCCCCGGCUAACUACGUGCCAGCAGCCGCGGUAAUACGUAGGGGGCAAGCGUUAUCCGGAUUUACUGGGUGUAAAGGGAGCGUAGACGGUGAUGCAAGUCAGAAGUGAAAGCCCGGGGCUCAACGCCGGGACUGCUUUUGAAACUGUGUGACUGGAGUGCAGGAGAGGUAAGCGGAAUUCCUGGUGUAGCGGUGAAAUGCGUAGAUAUCAGGAGGAACACCAGUGGCGAAGGCGGCUUACUGGACUGUAACUGACGUUGAGGCUCGAAAGCGUGGGGAGCAAACAGGAUUAGAUACCCCUGUA